rnacentral:sRNA from 1 species
AGAGAGAGAGAGAGAGAGAGAGAGAGAGUGUGUUAUAGGGAAGAGCGUGUAACUCACACACACAAAAAAAUUAAGAAUAUUGCACAAAAGAAUAUCACCCUUCUUUUUUUUGGGUGUUACUUUCUUAAUUAUAGGCUGUAAUUGGUAAUUCUAAUGCGAUGAUACAGGAAAUUUGUCAAUCAAUU